GGGUGCGAUCACACUAGUGCUAAUGCACCGGAUCCCAUCAGAACUUCGCAGUUAAGUGUGCUUGGGCGAGAGUAGUACUAGGAUGGGUGACCUCCUGGAAAGUCCUCAUGUUGCAUCCU